rnacentral:rRNA from 1 species
AUUGAACGCUGGCGGCAGGCCUAACACAUGCAAGUCGAACGGUAACAGGAAACAGCUUGCUGUUUCGCUGACGAGUGGCGGACGGGUGAGUAAUGUCUGGGAAACUGCCUGAUGGAGGGGGAUAACUACUGGAAACGGUAGCUAAUACCGCAUAACGUCGCAAGACCAAAGAGGGGGACCUUCGGGCCUCUUGCCAUCGGAUGUGCCCCGAUGGGAUUAGCUAGUAGGUGGGGUAACGGCUCACCUAGGCGACGAUCCCUAGCUGGUCUGAGAGGAUGACCAGCCACACUGGAACUGAGACACGGUCCAGACUCCUACGGGAGGCAGCAGUGGGGAAUAUUGCACAAUGGGCGCAAGCCUGAUGCAGCCAUGCCGCGUGUAUGAAGAAGGCCUUCGGGUUGUAAAGUACUUUCAGCGGGGAUGAAGGGAGUAAAGUUAAUACCUUUGCUCAUUGACGUUACCCGCAGAAGAAGCACCGGCUAACUCCGUG